AUUGAACGCUGGCGGCAGGCCUAACACAUGCAAGUCGAACGAGUGGCGGACGGGUGAGUAAUGUCUGGGAAACUGCCUGAUGGAGGGGGAUAACUCCUGGAAACGGUCGCUCAUACCGCAUACCAUCGGAUGUGCCCAUAUGGGAUUCGAUAGUAGGUGGGGUAAAGGCUCACCUAGGCGACGAUCCCUAGCUGGUCUGAGAGGAUGACCAGCCACACUGGAACUUGAACACGGUCCAGACUCCUACGGGAGGCCGCAGUGGGGAAUAUUGCACAAUGGGCGACAGCCUGAUGCAGCCAUGCCGCGUGUAUGAAGAAUGCCUUCGGGUUGUAAAGUACUUUCAGCGGGGAGGCGUUACCCGCAGAAGAAGCACCGGCUAACUCCGUGCCAGCAGCCGCGGUAAUUC
rnacentral:rRNA from 1 species